CCCUUAGAUGUCCUGGGCCGCACGCGCGCUACACUGAGUGUCUGAGAUACGAGUCUGCCUGGUCCGGCAAGGUCUAGGUAAUCGCUAAAAGACACAUCAUGCUUGGGAUAGAUUAUUGCAAAUAUUAAUCUUGAACGAGGAAUUCCUAGUAAGCGCAAGUCAACAGCUUGCGUUGAUUACGUCCCUGCCCUUUGUACACACCGCCCGUCGCUACUACUGAUUGAAUGUUUAAGCGAGGUUCUCGAACUGCUAGCGACUUAGCUUCGGUGAGGUCGCAGUGUGGGAAGUGAACCUAGCUUUGGUGUCUAGAGGAAGUAAAAGUCGUAACA
rnacentral:rRNA from 1 species